GGAGUGCCGAGAGGGAAGUUGGCAUUUGAAAGGCUUGCAGUAUCAGCUAAUUGGUCUCAAACCUAACUCAUAAAAAGACCUGUAAUUAUGCUGUUCAGAAUUAACACAGAAGACUGUUGGGUUGGUGGUGGUGGAGAGAAGGAGGGGCAACGAUGGGAGAAAAAGUCCGUUUUUUAAGUGAAUUUAUACUAUUAUAAGACCUGUCGCGGGCCCUGGCUUCCUUCCUUCAAUUACCCACUUCAGAUAGAAGCUUACACAAUUGGAAAAGGAGGCUGGAGAUUCAUCUCCUCUGGACUGUAAAGGUGACAAAUCUCUCUCAACUCUUUGGUUAGAAAAUACAGCUAAGCUCCACUAUGGCACAAACAUGCCCCUGGCAUUGGCUGAUCCAAGAGGGUAAGAGAUUUUUGGAGCAGACCUAGACCCAACCAGGAGCCUGGAGCCAAGACCAGCAGAGCCCAGCUGCCACAA